UCGUAGAAGCUUGUGAUAUCAACACAGUAGGGCUGGAGGCAUUUGUUCCCAACAAAGUUUGCACUUUACAGUGAAGGUUCUGUGUUUCAGGGGAAAAUACAAUGAAUGGUGAUGAUCCUGAUGCACCCCACAGCACAUUCUCACAGAGCAGCAAAGAGGGUUCACCCACUAAAGACAUGUCUACUGAGGAGUCACCAAAAAAGGACAAGAAAAAGAAGAAAGGACUAAGAACACCGUCCUUCCUCAAGAAGAAAAAGGAGAAGAAGAAGAUAGCCGAAGCAUAGGCAGUAAAACUAUAAAGCACUGCCAGGUGAAAUGAAACAUGGAAAAAAUUGAAGUGACCACCUCCCACAAUCUUUCAGAAGAAUUAAAUACUGCCACCUGACACAUCUUAGCAUUUAGUUGGAAGAAACAAGCUGGUAUGUGAUGUGCAUUGCUGUUGUGCCAUAUGCACACAUCUGUAACGUUCAUGUCUGUCUGCUGCAGUAUGGGCACAGUGAGACAGCAAGCUUCUGUCAGUGCUAUAUGAAUUAUUACUUGCUGCUUCUUAAAUUGUUUUUAUUUUUAAACAGUAGAUAUAUAAUAAUAUAGCUUUGUACAGACCAAGAAUGUGAAGAUGAAGAAAAAAGUAUGUGCAAAAUGCCAGAAAGGUGGUGAUUAAUAAGAAACUAAAAAAAUGUUUCCAACUUACAGUUAUUACUAUGUGUACAUGAAUUUAAACCUACAAUUCUUUUUAUUACAUUUUCUGACAGCAAAAGUAGGACAGUAGCAUUUCAGAUGUUACCUAUCGUGCUUGGAUGGUUUCCGCAGUUUGCUGGUGUGAAGGACGUGAUUAUUGACACGGCAAUAUGCUUGAGGAACAAAUGUAGUUUUAAUUAUUCUCUGGUGCACAAAUAAUUGGGGGUGUUAUCUUUCUAGCGUUAUAAGUGGGAGCUUAAAAUUAAGUAGUGCUCCUUUUUUUUUCUAUUGUGGGCUUUCGAUAUCGGUGCAGAAAAACUGUGGGCACAAAGUCCAUCGGACUACUCAGUGAAUUUAUGCCUGUGUCAGCGUACUUGCUGCUGAUGGUUCUAUAUAUUUGCUCUUUUGCAAUACUACUGGUACAGCCAUCCCUUUAUGUUGCCAAGUAAGCAGUCAGUGUUCAUGGUAUCUUUUAUGGAGCAGCAGUUUUCUUAGAUCCAUAGUGUAAGUAGCAAAACUUUAGAUUUAAAAAAUGUUUAAGGAAGAAUGAAACUUUGCUCUUUGGAAGAACAGACUUGUAAAAAAAAUCUUAUGAGGUUUGUUGGACAGGUGGAGUGAGAAUGUGUCAUAUGAAACUGGGUAGAAAACAUUUGGGAGAGAUUGGCAUUUAAAACCCAGUUGAGAAUAUUAAUUUUCAUAUAGGUAUAAUUUUAACAACUUCCACAGUUACUGUUUUUAAUUGGAUUUAAUUCAGUCAUUUUGUAUAAACUACGUGAUGGAAGUAUAUGUGACAACCGUGUUUUAAUUUUUGAUAUUAUGUAAUUUAAAAGUUGAUCUAUAGUUUAUUUUUUAGAAAUGUUUUCAAUAUAUGUGGUGAGAGUUUUAGAUGCCUGUAUUAUAUGUUAAUUUUUUCCCGAUUUAAUCGAGUAUGCAAGGAUGCCAGUACUCAUGUUUGUUUCUAUUUUAACAUGACUUUGGCAUUGUCAUUUGUGGUGAGAGAUUCCAGUCACUGCUUGCUUUUUAGAUUCACUCACCCACUCUCUUCACAGACCACUGCAUCACAUCAUUUCAGAUAAUAGUUCUCUGUAGAAAUUUUAAAGUAUAAAUCACCUGUACAUUUUGUAUGAAUAUUAAUUGUAUCCAUGGUUUUCAAUGUCAGGAAAUGGUGGCAUGGCAACACAGAAAACAUUUCAAAUUAAUCAACCCUAUCCAUUCUUGUGUGAGAUAGAAAAAGUUAUACUAUGUUUGUGAUUUGUAGUGUUAUCAACAAGAUUGAAAUAGGAGGGAACAAUAUGUAAUGAUUAUAGUAAAGAAAGGCUUGUGUAUAUUUUUUAUUUUGAACAUUAUAUUCUGAAGAAAU